UGCUUCUAAAUUAGUGCACUGAGAAUUCUGAGGCCUUUUUUUAACUAGAAACCCUGACAUUUAUGUCGGCUGUGGAGUGGUGGGUAGCUUUCAGCAUUUUUGACUGCAUGCAUCCAGGUUGAGGUAGUAGGUUGUAUAGUUUAGAAUUACACCAAGGGAGAUAACUGUACAACCUCCUAGCUUUCCUUGGGUCUUGCACAGAACGGCGUGAUGAGCGACCAUAAUUCCUCAGCAAUCUUUGCUCUGGACACAUGGAACAGGAAAGAGCAGGUAAGAUGAGCUGGAAAACCUUUUCUUUUCUUCUGCCUCUCUAGAACUUCAGAAAUGUUCAUUCUCUCAGCGUUGUUUUUUUUACCUAUGGGUGCUGUAUUACUGAGUUUUUAGCACAUUCAGUGGACUAGUAAUGCUUGUCUUCCUUUAUUAGCAUUCAAGCAGCGCAAUGUGUAACAUUCCUAAAAAGCACCAUGGCAACUUAUCAGUGUUAUUGCCUUCACGGUCAGCAAUCAGAAGUCUCCAAAGGUAACAUGAAAAGCGUCCUGUAUUGUAUCUGCUAUUGAGACGUGCAAGCAGGUUUCCCUUUCCACUAGUCUUUGACUGGUUCGGUUAGUUCUACACCAGGAGUUAAACAGGGCUGUACCCUGUAGCAGUACGAGACCUGGCACAAUCAUUGUCUCUCAGGAAGCGUAGGAGGCUGGUGCGGAUGCUUCCAGAUAAAGCCUGUAAGGGUUUCUCUGAAAGUACCUAAAUCCACACAGUCCUCGGGAGAGCUGUUCUUAGGGAAUAUCCAUUAGUGAUCACAGUCAGCUAAAUGAUUCGUAAGGGUUUUAUUUCUAGGCCCGUACAGUUCCAUUAGGUGUUUCAAAGGCUGUAGCUCUGGACACAUGCAAUAGGGGUGGUUUGCUUCUCCCUCACAGCAGUUUGCAUUCAGGACCCCUGGAACCACCCCAGAUUUUGAGGAGGAGCUGUAUGGAGAAUGGGUAGACAGUGAGCCACCAGUUCUGGGCACAAGACCACAUUUGUAUUACAUCUUACAAGUCUAAAACGCAGGGAAUAUACCUAGCUGCUAUUGAAAUCUACACUCUUAUUUACCACAGUAUUCGAUGCCUAAAAACCCAUUUGAAACUCUGGCAUUUAUCUAGUGAAGUCUGAACACAAGAUUUAAGGUCUUCAUGUUAGCAGUGUUCAAGGUUCAGGUCCCCUGGUUGCCUGCAUGAAGAUGGUGGCUGUAAUGCUUGAUCAGGGCCCAGAAUAUGUGCUGUGUUACGUCUUUCGACUAUAUAUAUAUAUAUGACUAAUUCUGGCAAGAGUUUUUGAGUUCCCAGAAAUAAGAAAGACUCUUUGCUAGUGGGUAAACUUUCUAAGUUAGUGAAUAAAAGUAAAGGGUAGGCACAGGAUUUCUUUCAUUAGGCUAAUCUAAAAGUGUGAAAAUGAUAACAAUAUUUCAAGGUAUCCAAGUAGCCCAGAGUAAUACUCUUCUAGUAAAAUGGCACUUUAAUAUCUGCAAAUCCUUGCUUACUGAAUGCAAAGAGAAGCUGUUGGUUUCUCAAGCAUUACCCAGUGCUCAGUUAUUAGUUAUUCCAAGAGUGAAUUAGUGGGACCUUAUUUCAUCUUGUUUUCAAAGAGGUUAUAGAUAUCAAUACCAUGGUUUAUAACUCUGCAGUUCCUUAGGACAAGGCAAGUAUCCGGGCUAACACAACGCAGCUUCUGUGUUCCACAGAGGCACAUGCACUAAACACAUGCAGGUGGUUAAAAAAGAGGAAUCUUUUUAGCACAUUUUAGGCAGUACCUUAUUUCCCCCCCAUAAAUCUUUUUGCAGAUGGAAGUGCAAAUUUUCAGCUGUAAAUCCACAAGCUGCAUUGAUUCACAUCCAAUUUAGAGCUGUUCCAUAAGGGCUGAUUUAUUAUUUUUAACCUGUUUGGUUAGGAAUAGCCUUAUAAAUGGGUGGUAGUAACUCCAAAUAAGAACAGUCUCUCUUCGGUUUUGAUGGUAACGACUCUGCUUCACACAGUUAUAAGGGAACUUCAUAAGGUCCGAAAAUAGCGGUUGUCUAUAUUAACACACACGUUUGUGGCUAUAGACUUUAAAUAUGUUAACUCAAAUGGUCUAUCUCGUUCCAAAGAACAAGGAAUAAUAAUUAAAAAGGAGAAUGGUCAGUGGUAAACAUAAUUCAGUGUGCAUAUUUUUCUUCUGAAUAAAAUAGCAUUCCAGCUCUCCCCCUGAUGAGAGGAAUGUAUUGUCAAUUAAUUAGACUUCCAUCAUAUGUCCUCGGAUGCCCUUCUAUCGUAUGCCUUCCAUAUGUCCUUAUGUCAUAUGCCUUCCAUAUGCCCCCUAUGUAAUUAAGCUUCUAUCAUAUGGCUUCUAUCAUAUGCCAUUUAAAUAGAUUUCCAGGAGAAUGUGGCAGUGUUACAAUUAUGGACCUUUCGCAAUGAGUAAAGGAACAACUCAUGAGCUGUAGAUUGAAAGAGGAGGAAGCAAAAGGGAGGUGGCUCACCCUAAACAGUUUCUUUAAUUGCCAGUUUUGUUUCUCUCAGCUUGGGCAAUGAACAGACAAAAGUGGUCUAUUUUCCUUGUUUUCCAUUACUCUUCCAUCCCCAGUUUUUAUUCAGCUAAGCCUGUGAAUAGCUGAGGAGAUAGCAACUGUUUUUCAGAGAACAUUUCCAUUGGAAUGUAAAAUGAAAAAGAAACCAUCCACCUCCCAGGAAAACUGUGUCCUAUGAUAAUGAAAUGUAAGCUUUCAUCUUGUUUUUAUUCCUUUAAGGGUGUAACAUAAAGUGAAGUACUAGAAAUCUCAUGGUGAGAGUAUUAACGAAACUGAGAUGGUACACUUAAGCGCACAUCCCUGUUCUCCCUUGUGGACAACGGGUGCAGAUAGUAUUGUGCUUUUUUUGGCAUGGUGAUUGCUUGAUAGACAGUGUCUUAAUGUACAAGGAUAUGUAGUGAAACAGAUCCCAAAUUUACUGUGACUUAGUAAGGAUAAAAACCAAAAAUAAGCACUGAUGCUUAUAUACGUAAUGAAGAAAACUGCAAGCAUCCGAGGAAUGAUGAGGUCUUGGAAUGGCUUCCAAUGAAAAGACAGCUAGCAUGCUCGUUUGCCUUAUGUACACUUGUGUAUCUGUGCCUUCUUUCUUCCCAACAACUUCUGAGACUGUUUUCUAAUCCCAGCCAUAUUUGAUAGAGGACUGGUGACUUCCAAGACUGUUCUGCUCCAGCAGGCUUUAUAGAAAUGAUAGCAAUCACAGCCAUAUAUCUAUCAGUCAGGGAAAAGGUUGAAAGGACAAAGAGAAGGUAAAAUAGUCAUAUGUGCUGAGGUGUCCAAACUAUAAAAUGGAGAGUGCUUUGCAGCAUAUGCCAGUUUACCUGGAUUAACUGGAUUGAAUGAAGUAAUGAGAACAGUUCAAACAGAUUCCCACUGGCUAGUAACCAGCGUGUCCCUGAAGACUUUGUACUCCAGUUGCUAGAGCAUGCUAAAACCCAUACCAUCAUGACUUCACUGCUAUUUAUAUGUGCUCUGCCUAGAUUAAGAUGGAAUUUACCAAACAAUGGGCCCUAUAUUUUGCUGUGUUAGCCACUAUUUGUAAUACAGACGCAUUCCUGAAAAAUAGGUGAAAGGUCUUAGUUUUGGCUUAAUCCUUUUUAGUUUCAGCUCACUUUUCAUUUAAAGCGUGCACACAUCCAAAAUAGGACCGGUCCAUCUGGAAGCUCUAGGAAGAGAACGAUUCAUGUUGUGGUGCUGUACCAUCAUUAGUUUCCUGGUGCCACAAUCAGAAACUGCAUACUAAGGGAAGCCUUAAAGCCUCUUGUAGCGUACCACUGUAAUUCUCUGUCAAGAAUAACUAGCAAAGUCUUGUAUUCAGGUUUGCUGGGCAGCAGGAAAAUACUUGCAACACUGCAAAUUAUCUUUCACUUCUGUGUUUUCACCUGGCUAUGAGGCAAGGGCUGUUCCUGGGACCUGCAUGCUGUUCCUUUGGAAAGGAGACUGGAACUCAGAGACUUUCACCAUUACAGGGAUUUAUUUUUUUUUUCCUUAAACAAUGGCUUUCAUCUAUUUCCACACCCAGUUGAAACUAUGCUGCAACACUUCUGCUGCUAAAUCAGAUGCAGCUGCAAUCUCAACAGUCAUUUGCUAAUGAUGAGGGUAAAAUGGAUCUCUCCUUUCCCUGGAUAGCAGAGGGGGGUUUAAAACCUCCACUUGGGAAGUUCAAGCUCAUCAAAAGGUCUUAUUGCAUUAGAAACCGAACUAAAUCUAAGUUUAGUGUGUGCUAGAGCCUGCAGUGCAACGUUAAUGAUGCAGCAGUAUGGACUGGCACCAGGAAUGGGGAGACUGGCUGCUGCGCUUGCGUCCCACUGCUAUUUCUGGCAUGCAGAGGCUGCGCGGUGUGGGAUGGGUCAAACGGUAGCAGAUGUGGAUAACAAAAGUAAUAUGGACAUAGCAGCUUGCUUCUGAGGACCUCCAAACACUCCAAGGACAUGUUAUGGUGCAUAUUGACUCCAUGGACUACCCAGACAAGUAAUGUGGUGGGGUAAGAUGCUAUGCUUUGUAAUUUACUUGUUAUGCACGUAAGGUUGAACUUACAGGCUCACUCUGAAUGUGCAGUCAGUGUCCUUAGUACAUGGAAGGAGAUUUUCCCUUGCUCAGAAGAGAUGGAGACUGAUUUAUACAAGGUAGAUUGAGGGAAUAUGAGGGGAAAAGGCACCUAAAAGUGAUUUGCCCAAGGAAGUGCAGCACAUAGUUUGCAAAGCAAUAAUUCAUGUGUCCUGGUUUACAGGGCUGCUGUACUUAAUCGUAUUACAUUCUUCCUCUGUGGAACUUUCCAGGCUGUGAAUAAGGUUACUGGCAUGCCAGGAGACCCUCUUGUGUACCCCCAGAUGUAAUCAUGAAAGAACAUGUUACUUCUGUAAGCUAUUUUUACUCUUGUCUCUUUUUGUCAUUCACUCAAUGCUCUGGCAACUGUAUUUGAUGUGCAGGGACAUUAUAAUCAGUUAAAGGAAAGGGUAUUUUUCAAGAUGCUAAAUGAGUCUCUGAUAUAUAUGGUACUCCAAGUGACUGUGGAAGGCUGAGACUACUGAGAUUGGGUUAAUUUAACAGCUCUUGCCGCAGUGUGGGCAAUGAAUCUCUAAUGUCCUAGACUGAAAUGUCUGACACUUAUAGAAUCAUUUAUUUGCUGGCCUUUGUAUCCGUGGUCGACUGUGUCGUCCUCACAGAGCUCCACCUGCAGCAGUGGGCUGAUGGUACACUGAAUAUAUAUUGUAUGUUCUUUAAGGGGUGGGAGGCAUAAAAGGGUGAGCAUAGGUUUUGCUGUGCAAUAUGUGCUUCUCAUGAUGCUAUCCUUUAAGUAAGGGGUAGCCUCCAGCAGCAACUGUUGAAGGAUGGCUUGGGCUUCUGAGGCACAAGGAGCGAUUUGCUCUGGCACAGUUUGCUUCUUGCUGCUGAUUCUCAUGGUCAGACAUCCAACACGCUGCCAGAAACUUGCUGCUGUUUGCUGCUGUAUGCCUUUGGAAGACAGGACAGAAGGGGUGCCCUUUGGUGUCCUUUAUGGCAAAGAGGAGGAUACGCUAAGUCAGCUCCUGGGAGAAGUCUCCAAACAGCUCCCUCUGGCUACUACUACAAGAAGCUGAACCGAUGGCUCCCCUUCCCUGGAAGCUGUGUCUGAUGAUCACAGGCCAUUAUAUGCUUCUCACUUGACUGCCCUGCUGGUAACUCCACUUUUAAGGUGAAUUAUGCAAGAAAUGCUGUGAAGCAUCAGACAUUCAGGAUCACGAAGAGUCCUCUUUCAGUGCAUGAACUCAUUUCUGGAUAAAGGCUGAGACUCACCCGGAUUCCAGCUUCUCCAGAAAGGACAAAAAAUGGAAAGGAUCAAAAAACAAUCGGUGGACUUUGGUUUCCCUGUGCAUGUGUGCUUGUAUCAUGUCUGAACUUGCAAAGAAUAUCCUUGGUUAUUCACAAGGAAUCCAGUAAAUGGUGAAUCUGUAAAUCA